GUUGUAUAGUUAAGUGACUAAGCGUACAAGGUGGAUGCCUUGGCAAUCAGAGGCGAAGAAGGACGUGCUAAUCUGCGAAAAGCUUGGAUGAGUCGAUAAGAGGCGCUUAAUCCAAGAUAUCCGAAUGGGGAAACCCAGUAGAUGAAGAAUCUACUAUCAACAAGUGAAUUCAUAGCUUGUUGAGGCAAACCGGGAGAACUGAAACAUCUAAGUACCCCGAGGAAAAGAAAUCAACCGAGAUUUCGUCAGUAGCGGCGAGCGAAAGCGAAAGAGCCAGUAAGUGAUAGCAGUAUAGUGAGGAGAAUGUGUUGGGAAGCACAAUCAAAGAGGGUGAUAAUCCCGUAUCUAAAAACCAUAUUGUGGUACUAAGCUAACGAGAAGUAGGGCGGGACACGUGAUAUCCUGUUUGAAGAAGGGGGGACCAUCCUCCAAGGCUAAAUACUCCUGAUUGACCGAUAGUGAACCAGUACUGUGAAGGAAAGGCGAAAAGAACCCCGGUGAGGGGAGUGAAAUAGAACCUGAAACCUUGUACGUACAAGCAGUGGGAGCCCCAUCACUUAAUCCGAUUGGAAGGUGAUGAAAAGCAACCGCACUUAAACAAUGGUAAGAGGAGCGAAGCGAGUCAAACCACCCAAAAGAAGCAGUGGGAUUAAGUGAUGGGGUGACUGCGUACCUUUUGUAUAAUGGGUCAGCGACUUAUAUUUUGUAGCGAGGUUAACUGAAUAGGGGAGCCGAAGGGAAACCGAGUCUUAACUGGGCGAGUAGUUGCAAGGUAUAGACCCGAAACCCGGUGAUCUAGCCAUGGGCAGGUUGAAGGUUGGGUAACACUAACUGGAGGACCGAACCGACUAAUGUUGAAAAAUUAGCGGAUGACUUGUGGCUGGGGGUGAAAGGCCAAUCAAACCGGGAGAUAGCUGGUUCUCCCCGAAAUCUAUUUAGGUAGAGCCUUGAGGUGACACCUUUGGGGGUAGAGCACUGUUUCGGCUAGGGGGCCAUCCCGGCUUACCAACCCGAUGCAAACUACGAAUACCAAAGAGUGAUACUCAGGAGACACACGGCGGGUGCUAACGUCCGUCGUGGAGAGGGAAACAACCCAGACCGCCAGCUAAGGUCCCCAAGUCUAUAUUAAGUGGGAAACGAAGUGGGAAGGCUUAGACAGCUAGGAUGUUGGCUUAGAAGCAGCCAUCAUUUAAAGAAAGCGUAAUAGCUCACUAGUCGAGUCGGCCUGCGCGGAAGAUGUAACGGGGCUGAAAUAUAGCACCGAAGCUGCGGCAUCAGAAUUUAUUCUGUUGGGUAGGGGAGCGUUGUGUAAGCGGAAGAAGGUUCAUCGAGAGGUGGGCUGGACGUAUCACAAGUGCGAAUGCUGACAUAAGUAACGAUAAAACGGGUGAAAAACCCGUUCGCCGGAAGACCAAGGGUUCCUGUCCAACGUUAAUCGGGGCAGGGUGAGUCGGCUCCUAAGGCGAGGCUGAAAAGCGUAGUCGAUGGGAAACAGGUUAAUAUUCCUGUACUUGGUAAAGCUGCGAUGUGGGGACGGAGUAGGUUAGGUUAUCGCACUGUUGGAUAUGUGCGUUUAAGUUGGUAGGUGGGAAGUUUAGGCAAAUCCGGGCUUCCUUAACACAGAGAGAUGAUGACGAGGCUCUACGGAGCUGAAGUAACUGAUACCACACUUCCAGGAAAAGCCACUAAGCGAAAGGCUUUACUAAACCGUACUGAAAACCGACACAGGUGGUCAGGUAGAGAAUACUCAGGCGCUUGAGAGAACUCGGGUGAAGGAACUAGGCAAAAUAGCACCGUAACUUCGGGAGAAGGUGCGCCGGCGUAGAUUGUAAGGGCUAGCCCCUGAAGGUUGAACCGGUCGAAGAUACCAGCUGGCUGCAACUGUUUAUUAAAAACACAGCACUCUGCAAACACGAAAGUGGACGUAUAGGGUGUGAUGCCUGCCCGGUGCUGGAAGGUUAAUUGAUGGUGUAAUCGCAAGAGAAGCACCUGAUCGAAGCCCCAGUAAACGGCGGCCGUAACUAUAACGGUCCUAAGGUAGCGAAAUUCCUUGUCGGGUAAGUUCCGACCUGCACGAAUGGCAUAAUGAUGGCCAGGCUGUCUCCACCCGAGACUCAGUGAAAUUGAAAUCGCCGUGAAGAUGCGGUGUACCCGCGGCUAGACGGAAAGACCCCGUGAACCUUUACUAUAGCUUGACACUGAACAUUGAAUUUUGAUGUGUAGGAUAGGUGGGAGACUUAGAAGUAGUCACGCCAGUGAUUAUGGAGUCGACCUUGAAAUACCACCCUUUAACGUUUGAUGUUCUAACGAAGAUGACGAAACGUGGUCUCGGACAGUGUCUGGUGGGUAGUUUGACUGGGGCGGUCUCCUCCCAAAGCGUAACGGAGGAGCACGAAGGUUUGCUAAUCACGGUCGGACAUCGUGAGGUUAGUGCAAUGGUAUAAGCAAGCUUAACUGCGAGACAGACAAGUCGAGCAGGUACGAAAGUAGGUCAUAGUGAUCCGGUGGUUCUGAAUGGAAGGGCCAUCGCUCAACGGAUAAAAGGUACUCCGGGGAUAACAGGCUGAUACCGCCCAAGAGUUCAUAUCGACGGCGGUGUUUGGCACCUCGAUGUCGGCUCAUCACAUCCUGGGGCUGAAGUAGGUCCCAAGGGUAUGGCUGUUCGCCAUUUAAAGUGGUACGCGAGCUGGGUUUAGAACGUCGUGAGACAGUUCGGUCCCUAUCUGCCGUGGGCGUAGGAGAAUUGGUUGGGGCUGCUCCUAGUACGAGAGGACCGGAGUGGACGCACCACUGGUGUUCCGGUUGUGUCGCCAGACGCAUUGCCGGGUAGCUAAGUGCGGAAGAGAUAAGUGCUGAAAGCAUCUAAGCACGAAACUUGCCAAGAGAUGAGUUCUCCCAAUCAAAGAGAUUGUAAGGGUUGUUGUAGACUACGACGUAGAUAGGUCUGGUGUGUAAGUGUAGUGAUACAUUGAGCUAACAGAUACUAAUUGCCCGAGAGGCUUAACUAUACAACGCUCAAG
rnacentral:rRNA from 1 species